ACUAAGAAGAAAAAAGAAGCCAGAAUUGCAGCAUUGUUACUUAAUCCAGGGAACUUUGUUCAACCAAGACCAGCAGGCUCAGCAUGACCAUGCAAAAAAAGCUACCAGGCUUUUAUUGGAAUUCCUGAGUGCCUGUAUCCCUGCCUCAGCCUGGUUUAACUAGCAGUGGACUCUGCCUGGAAAAAUUCCCACUUUAUUCCCUGCCCAUGUUUACUCUGAUCUACUCUAGAGUCACCAGGCCCUACUUCCCUCCACAUAAAUAUAAAUAUAAAGCAUUUCAAGAUGAACAGGGAGGUUGUAAGCCUCACAAAGGAGAGUCCAAAUCCACUUCCAGAGUUUUCUGCUGGAAACCCUUCUCCUUCAAAUUACCAGCCUUGCUGUGGUGAAAAAUUUCAUCAUUACAAAAUUCCUCAGGUGGGAAGGGUUCAAUCCCUUCUUGCUGUAUUUCAGAGGCCAGGAAAGCAGGUCAAUCCAGAGAAAGGAGCAUUUCCUAAACUUAUUUCAACCUAAACUGUCACACAGCCACUUCACAGGCCUGCAGUGACAAGGAUGGGAACACAGCUGGGAAUUGCAGAGAUUGGAAAAGAAGGAGAAGGAGAGUGAGAAUCUGUGUUUUAACAGCCACAUUGAGCAUAAGAAGCACCAGUGCACAGAAAGGCCCAGGAAUAGGAAGAGAAAGUGACAUCACCAUUACUUUACAUCAGUGGAAACUCUUCUUGUUCCAGGCAGUUCCUGCUUUCCUGUAAGGUGGAAGGAUCAGGAUUGAGCAACAGCACCUCCAAAAGCAACCAAACCUCGAGGGCAAGGAACUGGGAAGUGGGUGGGAUCUCUUCCCAGCCAUGACUUUUAUUCAUCCUCCUCCUGGGAAGUGAGGUAACAUUCCAUUUUCAGACAACGUGUUUUGCCUGAUAUCUACAAGAGCCAAACUAAGAACAUCAUGAUUCAUUUAAAAAGCAUCUUUAUUUCACCUGCAAAAACUCGUGUUAUACCAUAAAUCAGGGAAUAAAUGAAAGGUUAAUUAGUGCUGUAA